CAGUACAAACUGAGCAGGCAAUAAAUAUGAGGUUUAUGAAGCCGGGCUGCAAAUCCGUGGCAGCAGAUGGAAGCGAUGCACAUCUGUGGGACAGU
rnacentral:ncRNA from 1 species